rnacentral:tRNA from 1 species
AGGAUUAUAGGUUAAAUAAACCAUUGGCCUUCAAAGCCGAAAAUGAAAAGCUCUAAUCUUG